GCAAGUCGAACGGGAACGAAUCCUUCGGGAUUCUAGUACAGUGGCGGACGGGUGAGUAACACGUGAUCAACGUACCCCUAAGACCGGGAUAGCCAUUCGAAAGGAUGGGUAAUACCGGAUAAGCCCACAGCAUCGCAUGGUGCAGUGGGAAAAGGUUUAUUCUACUUAGGGAGCGGAUCGCGGACUAUCAGCUUGUUGGUGAGGUAAUGGCUCACCAAGGCUUUGACGGUUAGCCGGCCUGAGAGGGUGGAC
rnacentral:rRNA from 1 species